rnacentral:rRNA from 1 species
UACAGAGGUGGCAAGCGUUGUUCGGAAUUACUGGGCGUAAAGGGCGCGUAGGCGGUUCCGUAAGUCUUGUGUGAAAUCCCCCGGCUCAACUGGGGAAUUGCACGGGAAACUGCGGGGCUUGAGUUCGGGAGAGGGAAGCGGAAUUCCGGGUGUAGCGGUGAAAUGCGUAGAUAUCCGGAGGAACACCGGUGGCGAAGGCGGCUUCCUGGACCGAUACUGACGCUGAUGCGCGAAAGCUAGGGGAGCAAACGGG